GAUGAACGCUGUGUCGGCGUGCUUAACACAUGCAAGUCGAACGAAGCACUUCAAUCGAUUUCUUCGGAAUGAAGUUUUAGUGACUGAGUGGCGGACGGGUGAGUAACGCGUGGGUAACCUGCCUCACACAGGGGGAUAACAGUUGGAAAUGGCUGCUAAUACCGCAUAAGCGCACAGUACCGCAUGGUACAGUGUGAAAAACUCCGGUGGUGUGAGAUGGACCCGCGUCUGAUUAGCUAGUUGGCAGGGCAACGGCCUACCAAGGCGACGAUCAGUAGCCGACCUGAGAGGGUGACCGGCCACAUUGGGACUGAGACACGGCCCAAACUCCUACGGGAGGCAGCAGUCGGGAAUAUUGCGCAAUGGAGGAAACUCUGACGCAGUGACGCCGCGUGCAGGAAGAAGGUUUUCGGAUUGUAAACUGCUUUAGACAGGGAAGAAACAAGACAGUACCUGUAGAAUAAGCUCCGGCUAACUACGUGCCAGCAGCCGCGGUAAUACGUAGGGAGCAAGCGUUAUCCGGAUUUAUUGGGUGUAAAGGGUGCGUAGACGGGAAUGCAAGUUGGUUGUGAAAUCCCUCGGCUCAACCGAGGAAUUGCAACCAAAACUAUAUUUCUUGAGUGCUGGAGAGGAAAGUGGAAUUCCUAGUGUAGCGGUGAAAUGCGUAGAUAUUAGGAGGAACACCAGUGGCGAAGGCGACUUUCUGGACAGUAACUGACGUUGAGGCACGAAAGUGUGGGGAGCAAACAGGAUUAGAUACCCUGGUAGUCCACACCGUAAACGAUGGAUACUAGGUGUAGGGGAUGAAUAAUCUUCUGUGCCGUCGCAAACGCAGUAAGUAUCCCACCUGGGGAGUACGGCCGCAAGGUUGAAACUUAAAGGAAUUGACGGGGGCCCGCACAAGCAGUGGAGUAUGUGGUUUAAUUCGACGCAACGCGAAGAACCUUACCAGGGCUUGACAUAUACAUGAAAAUCUAAGAGAUUAGAUCCCUCUUCGGAGCAUGUAUACAGGUGGUGCAUGGUCGUCGUCAGCUCGUGUCGUGAGAUGUUGGGUUAAGUCCCGCAACGAGCGCAACCCCUGUUCUUAGUUGCCAGCAUGUAAAGAUGGGAACUCUAAGAAGACUGCCGGUGAUAAAUCGGAGGAAGGUGGGGACGACGUCAAAUCAUCAUGCCCUUUAUGUCCUGGGCUACACACGUACUACAAUGGCUGUAACAAAGGGAAGCGAACCCGCGAGGGGAAGCAAAACCCAUAAAAGCAGUCUCAGUUCGGAUUGAAGGCUGAAAUUCGCCUUCAUGAAGCCGGAAUUGCUAGUAAUGGCAGGUCAGCAUACUGCCGUGAAUACGUUCCCGGGCCUUGUACACACCGCCCGUCACACCAUGAGAGUUGGGGAUACCCGAAGCCUGUGAGCUAACUGUAAAGAGGCAGCAGUCGAAGGUAGAAUCAAUGAUUGGGGUGAA
rnacentral:rRNA from 1 species